UAUGCUUCGCAACCAAGUGCAUUCGAUGAUGAGGCAAGACUUUGGCUAUUGAUGCAACAAUCUGCUCCUGCACAUCAAGACUCGAAAUAUGCUCAAACCUACAUGCAACAACAACAAGCUCCAACUGCACAUCAAGACUUGAAAUAUGCUCAAACCUACAUGCAACAACAAGCUGCUCAAACCUACAUGCAACAACAGGCUCCAACUGCACAUCAGGAAGUUAGAAAUUCCGGUCAAAUUGGGGAUAGGUAUUCUUCUUGGGAUGAUAUAUAUGGUGUCUCU
rnacentral:lncRNA from 1 species